rnacentral:rRNA from 1 species
AGUGAACGCUGGCGGUAGGCCUAACACAUGCAAGUCGAACGGCAGCACAGUAAGAGCUUGCUCUUACGGGUGGCGAGUGGCGGACGGGUGAGGAAUACAUCGGAAUCUACUUUUUCGUGGGGGAUAACGUAGGGAAAAUUACGCUAAUACCGCAUACGACCUACGGGUGAAAGCGGGGGAUCUUCGGACCUUGCGCGAUUGAAUGAGCCGAUGUCGGAUUAGCUAGUUGGCGGGGUAAAGGCCCACCAAGGCGACGAUCCGUAGCUGGUCUGAGAGGAUGAUCAGCCACACUGGAACUGAGACACGGUCCAGACUCCUACGGGAGGCAGCAGUGGGGAAUAUUGGACAAUGGGCGCAAGCCUGAUCCAGCCAUACCGCGUGGGUGAAGAAGGCCUUCGGGUUGUAAAGCCCUUUUGUUGGGAAAGAAAAGCAGCAGGUUAAUACCCCGCUGUUCUGACGGUACCCAAAGAAUAAGCACCGGCUAACUUCGUG